UAACAAAUCACAUGGGGUUAGCAGGAAUAAGAAAUAAAAGAGCUAAGUGAUCUGCACUAGAAAUAAACAGGACUUAGGAAUUGAGAGAGAGAGGAGAAGUCGAGGGAAGUCGGCAAGACACAGGGGACAGAAGAUUUGUUUUGAUGUAACCCGUGAACCUCUCACGUCGAACCACUCAUGGCCGGGAGGAGAUCCAAAGCGGGUCUGGAACUGGGUUAUCCUAUGUGCAGUUUCUGAAGUUUGCAUUGCUGAGGUGUAAGUUCGAAGUCCGCCACGCAGAAGAUGGAGACUCUGAAGGGUUCCUCUACGUAUUAUAUACCUGCAACAAAAACCCUUGCCAAGGACUUCCAAACUGCAGCUUUCUCUCUGUGGCACAGGAUGGUGAGCUAAUGUACAAGAACACAGGCCUGAUGUCCUGUGUGCACUGAUGACUUAAGUGCCAUCGCUGAGCCUUUUGUCUCAAAACAACUUAUGUAUACUCCUUGUUUUACCUUUAAAAACCUUUGUCUCCAUUUGCUUUGUCUCCUCUGGUUGCUUUGUGGAUAAUAAAC
rnacentral:lncRNA from 1 species